UCAGUAACACGUGGAUAAUCUGCCCUAGGGUGGAGGAUAACCUCGGGAAACUGAGAAUAAUACUCCAUAGGUUUAGGAGGCUGGAAUGCACUUAAACUGAAAAUUCCGGUGCCCUACGAUGAGUCUGCGGACUAUCAGGUUGUAGUCAGGGUAAAGACCUGACUAGCCUACGACAGAUAUGGGUUGUGAGAGCAAUAGCCCAGAGAUGAUAUCUGAGACACGAUAUCAGGCCCUACGGGGCGCAGCAGGCGCGAAAACUUCACAAUGUGCGAAAGCACGAUGAGGGAAUCCCAAGUGCUUGCACGUAAGUGUAAGCUGUUUUUCUGUAUAAAAAGCACACAGAGUAAGGGCUGGGUAAGACGGGUGCCAGCCGCCGCGGUAAUACCUGCAGCUCAAGUGGUGACCGUUAUUAUUGGGCCUAAAACGU
rnacentral:rRNA from 1 species